rnacentral:rRNA from 1 species
UUCGUUUGACCUCUAGAGAAGAGCUUUCCCUUCGGGGACAAAGUGACAGGUGGUGCAUGGUUGUCGUCAGCUCGUGUCGUGAGAUGUUGGGUUAAGUCCCGCAACGAGCGCAACCCUUAUUGUUAGUUGCCAUCAUUUAGUUGGGCACUCUAGCGAGACUGCCGGUGACAAACCGGAGGAAGGUGGGGAUGACGUCAAAUCAUCAUGCCCCUUAUGACCUGGGCUACACACGUGCUACAAUGGGAAGUACAACGAGUCGCUAGACCGCGAGGUCAUGCAAAUCUCUUAAAGCUUCUCUCAGUUCGGAUUGCAGGCUGCAACUCGCCUGCAUGAAGCCGGAAUCGCUAGUAAUCGCGGAUCAGCACGCCGCGGUGAAUACGUUCCCGGGUCUGUACCACACCGA